UACGAAGGGGGCGAGCGUUGUUCGGAUUUACUGGGCGUAAAGGGCGCGUAGGCGGCCUUGUCAGUCAGGCGUGAAAGCCCCGGGCUCAACCUGGGAACGGCGCUUGGGACGGCGAGGCUGGAGUUCGGGAGAGGAGAGUGGAAUUCCCAGUGUAGAGGUGAAAUUCGUAGAUAUUGGGAAGAACACCGGUGGCGAAGGCGGCUCUCUGGACCGUAACUGACGCUGAGGCGCGAAAGCUAGGGGAGCAAACGGG
rnacentral:rRNA from 1 species